GUUUGACGUUAGCGACAGAAGAAGCACCGGCUAACUCCGUGCCAGCAGCCGCGGUAAUACGGAGGGUGCGAGCGUUAAUCGGAAUUACUGGGCGUAAAGCGCAUGCAGGUGGUUUGUUAAGUCAGAUGUGAAAGCCCGGGGCUCAACCUCGGAAUUGCAUUUGAAACUGGCAGACUAGAGUACUGUAGAGGGGGGUAGGAAUUUCAGGUGUAGCGGUGAAAUGCGUAGAGAUCUGAAGGAAUACCGGUGGCGAAGGCGGCCCCCUCGGACAGAUACUGACACUCAGAUGCGAAAGCGUGGGGAGCAAACAGGAUUAGAUACCCUGGUAG
rnacentral:rRNA from 1 species